UCGCCUGUUUAACAAAACAUAGUUUAAAGAAAAAAAAUUUUAGAUAAAUUCUGCUCAAUGAGUAAGUUAAAUAGCUGCAGUAAAUUAACUGUACUAAGGUAGCAUAAUAAGUUGCUUUAUAAUUAAAAGCUUGAAUGAAAGAAAUAAUGUGAAAGAAGCUUUUUAAACUAAAAUAGUGAAAAUUAAUAUUUAAGUGAAAAAUCUUAAAUAGAAUCAAAAGACAAGAAGACCCUUUAGAACUUUACAAAUUGAUUUAAUAUCAUUUAGUUAAUUUGUUAAAUUGGGGAGAUUUUUAAAUAAAUAAAUCUUUAGAUAUAAAAAAAUGAUUUAAAUCAGAUUAAAUUAUCCAAAUGUGAAAUAAAACAAGUUACCUAAGGGAUAACAGCGCAAAAUUUUUGAGAAGUUCUCAUUUACAAAAUAAAUUGCGACCUCGAUGUUGGAUUAAGAACAACUUAUAAAGAAAAAUUAUAAGAGUUGUUCGUCGCCA
rnacentral:rRNA from 1 species